ensembl:lncRNA
GUCAGGUGGGGGAACCUGGUCAGAAGGUAGAAGGAGACCCAGGAGGGAUUGGCAUUUAUACUGGGACUGGGCAGGGGAAGGGCUGCCUCAGGGCCUGUUGGGAAGGAGAAACUGAGGCCAGCCCCUACUGAGACCUACCUAGAGAGGUGGGGAUGGGAAUUGGGCCUGGAGGAAUGAGGGGCCACCCUGUCUCCAGGCUGGACACGAGGCCCUGGCCCUCCCUCAUUUUCCCCUUACAGGACCUCAAUCCUGCCUGCUCACUGGGCCUUAUGGACUCCAAACCUUCGUGCCCUGUUGCAGAGGAGAGGGCUAGGCAUGUGAAGGCAGUGGACAGAGAGCCUAGGGAAGUUAGGGAGCACAGGGUAGGACCCAAGGUGUGGAGAAGGUGGCAGCCACCUGGGCAGUUGGUUCCUGGAAGCAAAGACCACAGACAGAGCCACACCUCCCAGGGCACCCACAGGGCCCCAAAUGGCCACUUCCAGCAGAUCGGCCAGGCACCCCUGCAAGGCAUUCGCUGGGCAUUGGGCUGGGGCGGGGGCAGCAUUUUCCAGCACAGGGCAGUCUCCAAGCUCUGCUGGUCCAUGUGCUUCUUCCUCAGCCUGGAGGACUCUCUGUUCACUGUCCUGUUGGAACGCCCCGGCUUUGAGACCACCCUCAGAUGGCAAGCUGCCAGUUUGUUCAUACGCUUCACCCCGAGCUGCGAGAGCUGUUCUUCCUCCACAAAUGUCACAUCUACUUUGGCACUGGAGUUUUCCAGGGCGACGCGCUGCUCCGUGAGCAUCUCCGGGUCAGGCUCGACAAUGGAAUCCUCAGGAUCAUCUCUAGGCACAGGGCCACUUUGGGGGGAACGGUUGCGGAGGAUGGUGUCUGAGGCCUUGGUUGUACUUGGAGUCCGCAGUGACCAUAACCAUCUCUCCCACAUCCAUGACUUGUACACUGUGGUCGAGGGCCUCGAUGACAUAAGAGCUCAGGUUAACACCAGCUCUGGCUCCUCCUGAACCUGCCUGCUGUUCUCCAGUGAGGGCUGCAGUUGCAGUGACUGGGCCCUUGGCUGGGUGGCUCCAGCAGGGUGGGCCCGGGACCAAUGUCUGCUUCCUCAAUAGCAGAUUCCCCAGGAUGUCCAGGCAUUCCUCCAGGCCAAGUUGGGCUUGGGCUCAGGCUCCAGGGUGACCAGGAACUCUCCAGUUAGGGCCAGGGUCUGAUAAGCCUCCUCCAGAGGGGGCUGCCCAGGAACCGGAAUGGUGGUAAUUUGCUCAGGUCUUCUUAUCCUACUGGUCUUUGUGCCCCCCCUUCCCCUCCCUCUCCCCUCCCCCUCCUCCUCCUCCUCCUUCCCCUCUUUCACUUUGCAUCUUCCACCCUCCUCAGCAUCUUGAAGUCCUCAAGUGUCAAGAUGCCAUUAGAUAAGGGGUUAAUUCAUAUCCAGAAAUACAUAAAGAACCCAUACAACUUGACAGAAAAAAAUCCAGCUAAAAAGUGAGCAGAGGAUCUGAAUAAGCAUGCUUCCAAAGAAAGCACAGAUGGCCAACAGGUACAUGAAAAGGUGCCCGACAUCACUAGUCAUCAGGGAAAUGCGAAUCAAGACCACGGGGAGAUAACAUCACACAGGUGUUACAAUGGCUAUUAUCAAAAAGAGAAGGAAUAACAAACGUUGUGAGGAUGUGGAGGAAAGGGAAUCGUUGUGCCCUGCUGCUGAGGGUGCAAAUUGGUACAACCCUUGCAGGAAACAGUAUGGAGUUUCCUGAAAAAAUUGAAAAUAGAACUACCACACAAUAUAGCAAAAUGAGUGAAGGUGGUCAAAAGAUAGAAACUUCCACGUAUAAAAAAAAUAAAUCCUGGGGAGACAACGUACA